rnacentral:ncRNA from 1 species
UCCCUGCUUUUCCUCCCUGAGCAGGUGCCUUACCGUGUUGACAGCGUUAAGGCUUUGCGGCCCCAGCACAGCUGGGGCUCUUUUUUU